rnacentral:rRNA from 1 species
AUUGAACGCUGGCGGCAUGCUUUACACAUGCAAGUCGAACGGCAGCGCGGGCUUCGGCCUGGCUGCGAGUGGCGCACGGGUGAGUAAUGCAUCUGAACGUGCCCAGUAGUGCGGGAUAGCCCGGCGAAAGCCGGAUUAAUACCGCCUACGACCUGCUGCUGAAAGCGGGGGACCGAAAGGCCUCGCGCUCUUGGAGCGGCCGAUGUCGGAUUAGCUAGCUGGUGGGGUAAAGGCUUACCAAGGCGACGAUCCGCAGCUGGUCUGACAGGACGACAGGCCACACUGGGACUGAGACACGGCCCAGACUCCUGCGGGAGGCAGCAGUGGGGAAUGUUGGACAAUGGGGGCAAACCUGAUCCAGCGAUGCCGAGUGCGGGAAGAAGGCCUUCGGGUUGUAAACCGCUUUUGUUCGGGAAGAAAUCCUCUGGGCUAAUACCCCGGGGGGAUGACGGUACCGGAAGAAUAAGCACCGGCUAACUACGUG